GUGACCGUGGCCUGGCCGUGGCGCCCUCCCUCCGCUGGCGCCCUGCGAGCGGGCGCGGGGCCGGGGGGCCGCGGCGGCCAUAUUGUGGGCGGCCAUGCGGCUUCGCGGAGGCCGCCGGGAGCAGGAUGUGGGGGCGCUGGGGUGCGAUGUACCGUCCUGGGGUGCACCUCCGCCCUCCACCCCAGGCCACCGUCCUGUGCUGAGACAAGUCGCCUUCUCACGUACCAUCUCACUUCAUCAGCACAGCAGCCUCGGGCCAGGAGUGACGGCCCAUCUUUCGGAGGUGGAGACUGAGGCUCCACAGUCCUCAAGACAAGCGAUUGGCGAAGGCAUUCUUUUAUAGGACAUUUUUAUUUUAUCAUCUACCGAGGGACAGUGAGGCCUGGCGUGCUGCAGUCUACAGGGUUGCAAAGAGUCGGACAUAACUUGGUGACUGAACAACAACGAUUUUAUUGUCUAGGAAUCUGAGGCUUAGACAGGGGGCCCAGGUUCGAUCCCUGGUCAAGGAAGUAGAUGCCAUGUGCCACAACUAAAGCUCCCGCGUGCUGCAAUGAAGAUCAAAGAUCCUGCGUGGGGCAACUGAGACCCAGUGCAGUCAAAAAUAAAUAUUUAAAAAGAAGAAAUAUACAGGGAGAAAGAGAAAUGGUUGCAAAAAUCUAAACAUUUGCUAAGAGGGUUUGUGGUAAAGACUACGGACUUCCCUCAUAGCUCAGUUGGUGAAGAAUCUGCCUGCAGUGCAGGAGACCUGUGUUUGAUUCCUGGGUUGGGAAGAGGGGGAGGCUGAAUUCGUAGGACAUUUUGUUAAAGCAAACUAGGUAUAAAUAAGGACUUAUGCCCACAGAUGUCUACUGCAACUGGCCACCACCUCAGUGCUCAGCAGUCCCUUGGGGCUUGUUGAAAUGAAUUAUAGCACUUCCUAUGACAGAAUAUGAUGUAGCCAGUAAAUAUGACACUUAGCAAAAAAUUGUAAUUACAUAGGAAACACUUCGGUAUAACAUAAAAUCAGGAUAUAAAAUACGUGCCUGUAUGUUACAUCAAUAAAAAGAAAAAAGAAAAAACUAAAUGCCGUGAGCUUGACUUCAUUUAAAGACAUAUAAGGAGAAAGUGGAAAGAAAACACCCCCAAAUUCUAACCUUAUUUAUUUCUGGCUGGUGAUUUUUAAAUUUUUAGUACUUGUUCUUUAUUUUAUUUCCAAAUUUCUACACUAAAUACGUUCAGGUUUUAAAGUUAUUUGAAAUAAAAGCAAAAAGUGUAUCUUGUAUUUAAGAGAAAGUCUCAUUUCUCUGAAAAAAUGUUUAUGUGGAUGUGUAAGUUCUUCGAGUGUAUUUUAUACUCUCUGUUCUUCAGUUUGAGGCAUCAAAACGCAGAGACAUCACUUUGCCGACAAUGGUCUGUAUAGUCAAAGCUAUGGUUUUUCCGGUAGUCAUGUACGGAUGUGAGAGUUGAACCAUAAAGAGAAUUUAGUGCCGAAAAAUUGAUGCUUUCAAACAUCAAGAGUGGUGCUGAAGAGUCCCUUGGACAGUAAGGAGAUCAAACCAGUCAAUCUGAAAGGAAAUCAACUCUGAAUAUUCAUUGGAAGGACUGAUGCUGAAGCUGAAGCUCCAAUAAUUUGGGCACCUGAUAUGAAGAAAGACUCAUUGGAAAAGACCCCGAUGCUGGGAAAGAUUGAGGGCAGGAGGAAAAGAGGGAACCAGGGAUGAGAUGGUUGGAUGGCAUCACCGACUCAAUGGACACGAGUGUGAGCAAACUCAGGGAGAUAGUGAGGGACAGGGAAGCCUGAUGCGCUGCAGUCCAUGGGGUUGCAAAGAGUCGGACAUGACUUAGUGACUGAACAACAAAAGGAGCUUGAACCAGGAGAGCAUUUGACAACAAGUAACAGAAGAUCCCACUAACAGAGACAGGGUUACUUUUUUCCUGUAACAGGAAGUCCCCGUUAGGCCAGCCGGGACUGAUGUGGUCCAGUGAUGCUGCGGCAGAAACAGACCUCCUGUUGUCCACCCUGAAAUUGAUGCUGGAUAACCUCAGGCAGACGGGGCAGCCCAGGGCAGAGUGUGUUUGUGGGAGGCUAUGCCAGAGGAAGAGAUCUGCCCAAGGUCACACUGCUGCUCAGUGAGCUGAAUGACCAAAGGAUGGAUGGUUGCCAAGAAGGCAGGAUUAGAACCUGGCUGUUAGCUUCUCCACACUGCCAAGUCUAGCCAUCUGGGCAUGUGAGGCCUCAGAAAAUCCGGCCCUGCUGACCCUCCUGCUUAGCACCGAACUGCUGCGGCUCACACGCCCCUACCCGUUUACUCUGUGCUUUUGCUCACGCUCU
ensembl:lncRNA